GCUGAAUGUGGGGAUUUUUUAUCUCUGUGUUGUAGCUAACGCGUUAAGCACUCCGCCUGGGGACUACGGUCGCAAGACUAAAACUCAAAGGAAUUGACGGGGACCCGCACAAGCGGUGGAGCAUGUGGUUUAAUUCGAUGCAACGCGAAAAACCUUACCACUCCUUGACAUGGAGAUUAGAUCCUUCUUAACGGAAGGGCGCAGUUCGGCUGGAUCUCGCACAGGUGCUGCAUGGCUGUCGUCAGCUCGUGUCGUGAGAUGUUGGGUUAAGUCCCGCAACGAGCGUAACCCUCAUCCUUAGUUGCCAGCGGGUUAAGCCGGGCACUUUAAGGUAACUGCCAGUGGUAAACUGGAGGAAGGUGGGGAUGAUGUCAAGUCAGCACGGCCCUUAUGGGGUGGGCUACACACGUGCUACAAUGGUGACUACAAUAGGUUGCAAUGUCGCAAGGCUGAGCUAAUCCGUAAAAGUCAUCUCAGUUCGGAUUGUCCUCUGCAACUCGAGGGCAUGAAGUCGGAAUCGCUAGUAAUCGUGGAUCAGCAUGCCACGGUGAAUACGUUCUCGGGUCUUGUACACACUGCCCGUCACGCCAUGGGAAUUGGCUUAACUCGAAGCUGGUGCGCUAACCGAAAGGAGGCAGCCA
rnacentral:rRNA from 1 species